rnacentral:rRNA from 1 species
UACAGAGGGUGCAAGCGUUAAUCGGAAUUACUGGGCGUAAAGCGUGCGUAGACGGUUGCAUAAGUCAGAUGUGAAAGCCCCGGGCUCAACCUGGGAAUUGCAUUUGAGACUGUGUAGCUAGGGUGCGGAAGAGGGAAGCGGAAUUUCCGGUGUAGCGGUGAAAUGCGUAGAUAUCGGAAGGAACACCAGUGGCGAAAGCGGCUUCCUGGUCCAGCACCGACGUCAGGCACGAAAGCGUGGGGAGCAAACAGGG